rfam:Helianthus annuus linkage group 6, whole genome shotgun sequence.
CACUUGCCUUGAUGAAUUAUGAAUCUAAUCACAUGUCAGACUUCAGAGGCUCUUUAAAGUAAAGAGUCAAUGAGAUUACACUUCAUAUAUCUGAGCAAAUA